rnacentral:rRNA from 1 species
CAGGCUUAACACAUGCAAGUCGAGCGCCCCGCAAGGGGAGCGGCAGACGGGUGAGUAACGCGUGGGAAUCUACCUAGCUCUACGGAAUAGCUCCGGGAAACUGGAAAUAAUACCGUAUACGCCCUUCGGGGGAAAGAUUUAUUGGAGUUAGAUGAGCCCGCGUUGGAUUAGCUAGUUGGUGGGGUAAUGGCCUACCAAGGCGACGAUCCAUAGCUGGUCUGAGAGGAUGAUCAGCCACACUGGGACUGAGACACGGCCCAGACUCCUACGGGAGGCAGCAGUGGGGAAUAUUGGACAAUGGGCGAAAGCCUGAUCCAGCCAUGCCGCGUGAGUGAUGAAGGCCCUAGGGUUGUAAAGCUCUUUCAACGGUGAAGAUAAUGACGGUAACCGUAGAAGAAGCCCCGGCUAACUUCGUGCCAGCAGCCGCGGUAAUACGAAGGGGGCUAGCGUUGUUCGGAAUUACUGGGCGUAAAGCGCACGUAGGCGGAUACUUAAGUCAGGGGUGAAAUCCCGGGGCUCAACCCCGGAACUGCCUUUGAUACUGGGUAUCUCGAGUCCGGAAGAGGUGAGUGGAAUUCCGAGUGUAGAGGUGAAAUUCGUAGAUAUUCGGAGGAACACCAGUGGCGAAGGCGGCUCACUGGUCCGGUACUGACGCUGAGGUGCGAAAGCGUGGGGAGC